UGCUUGCUGGUGUGAGGCUGCUGGCUUUGGGGAUGGGGUGGGGGCCAGAGGGACAGGUCCCUGCCGGAAAAGGGACACUGGCUUCUCCUGGUGACACUGAACAUGCUCACAUGGCUGGGAGAUCUGCGGGGCCCUGCAGCCUUCUCAGCUGGCCUUGGGAGAGCCGUAGGUUAAACAAAUGCUUCCAGGGAUGGAGCCUGGAUGCUGUGGUGAUGGGUGCUUGGAAAUAGCAGGGUUUGGCCUGCUAUGGCACCAUGGUGCUGUUCCCAGAUAGGAAUUUGUGAGGGUUUGGGGCUUGGUACAGGAACCCCCAAAAUGAGUGCUGUUACCUGGAGCUGUGCAGCUCCCCCGGCAGUCACCGUGUGGGUGCUGUCUGAGCUGUUUUUCCCCCUUCUAUUCCAUUUCUCCAUGGGAUUUCUUUGCAGACUGUCUGGUGGGUGCAGGAGCUGAUGAAGGAGCAAUGCGGAGGUCCGCUGCAGCCCCCCAUCCCUGCUUGGCUCCUGCUCCCCCCAGUGAAGGCUUCUCUCCUCCAGCAACCUGCCGCGGAUGCGCCGCAGCCCAAAGGAACCCAAAGGCGAAGUGAGAGAUGGAGAUGCGAUAGCGAGGCCGUGCCACGCCAAGAAUCUUGAUUCGCGCCUGCGAGCGAAUGUGACAAACGCAUGCAAAUGGAGAGGGGACUCGGAGGCGGCUCCGCUGCCUUCAGGAGGCCGCUGGCCGCUGCAGGUGGCGGUGGGUAGGCAGCGGGAUGCUCGUGGCUCCCUCGGAAACUGCGGCAGAAACGAAGCCGAGCUUGGCCUGGAAUGGCAGAAGAGUGUUUUCUUGAUUAAAUUAAUGUGUAUUGAUAUUUCUCCUGUUGUUUUGACUUCACAGGCUGUUUAAAUUCAGUCUUGUCACAACAAAAUACAAAGGAGGUUGCUCUGAGAUUGAUUUUUUUUUUUUUCUUUAAUCCUGUCUCUGAAGAAGAGUGUUUUAAAAUUUUAUUUUUUUUGUUACUUCCAGGUUGACAGCCGGGGAAGGCUGCAAAUGUUAAAACUGUUGCGUAAAUAAUUAUGUUAAAAUGUCGAGCAUACAUUAUGGAGGAAGAUGCGUGUUGAUUGUAAAGCACGAAUCAAUUUUCUGCGUCACAAAAUUACCGACAGUGGAGUUUGCUUUGGUGAUUUAUUCCCUCAAAUGAUGAUUUUUGUGACUACCAGCCUACUUUCCCCGGAGAGUCUUCUUGAUGGGUGAAGCUUUGGUUUCCCCUUUGUUGUCACUGCUGAAGCUCUCUCCUCCUGCCUGCAUGGCAGUGCCCCCCCCCGAUUCUUAAAAGCAGAGCCUUUCAUGCAAGCUGCAUCCCAAAACGCUCUGCCAAGUUAAAUAAUGUAGUCACAAAACCAAAUAUUGAAUAAUGACUGAGGAAGGGAUUAAGGGAGACAGUCGAGCAACAAAAGGGAUGCUCGAGUGUUUGGAGCACAAGACGGGGAAGGCAGGGAUGCUCAGGGUGUGCUGGGCAGGGAGCUGCAGCCCCCCAGGACCGCGUCCCCCAGCUGCAACCCAAACCUCUCUGCCAAGCCCGCCUUAUUUAAGCCAUUUCUGUUGGAAAUGGCAAAAAGGUCUGCAAUAAAUGUCCAGGUUUUGAGAUGGGAAGUUUCGGU
rnacentral:lncRNA from 1 species